CGGCUGUACGAUUUGUUAGCUUACUGGACCAAAAGUAAACGGCUGUACGCAUUAUUGUAACGCAUAUUGUGUGUACUCUAUCUAGUUUAGGCUAUAGUCAAAAUAUCCAUCACAUGUAUCUAAAGACUAAACUAUCAAACUUUAUAAUUCCAUCGGAAUCGAAAUACUGGUCUACAUGCGGCUGCCGGGCAGUAUUUUUAAAAUACUACGUGCCCGGCAGUCAGGAAACACGUACAGCACACUGGGCCGAAGGAUAAACCGAAAAUUCACUUCUCUCCAUCACAAGCUUUUAUGUUCAGUCGAUCCCGGCUACAUUGAAAGAUGAGUACUUGGCUAUUUUUUGGCAGGGGUAACGAAAUAUAUAGGCUGUUCUCUACAGUAAGUGUUUCUUUAUGCGUUGGCCAACGGAAUAUCCGAAUAUAAUAUAACUACAUAAGCUUGAUAGAUGUAAGAUAACGAGUUUCACAAUCCUAUUUUAAAUACUAUGACUUUUGGCAGUUUUGCAUCAUAUGUGUUUUUCAGUAAAAGCCCCAUUUUCCUACUUCCCCAACGUGUAAUACGCGAAAAAACUUUGUUAAUAAUAACAAAAAUUUGUAAUAGUAAACAGUGUAUUUUAUUAUAAAGGAUUUUCGUUUUUCUACUGCUCCGUACUUCGUGUGCUCCGUGCUCCGUGUGCUCCGUACUCCGUGUGCUCCGUGCUCCGUGUGCUCCGUGUUUUACUAAUAGCCGACUUGGGGGAGAGCGGGGUAUAUUUAUUGACAAAAACGCCAUUCGCGGUCAAUGUGAGUAGGUUGUCCAUAA